rnacentral:rRNA from 1 species
AACGAACGCUGGCGGCAUGCCUAACACAUGCAAGUCGAACGAGACCUUCGGGUCUAGUGGCGCACGGGUGCGUAACGCGUGGGAACCUGCCCUUAGGUUCGGAAUAACUCCCCGAAAGGGGUGCUAAUACCGGAUAAUGUCUUCGGACCAAAGAUUUAUCGCCUUUGGAUGGGCCCGCGUUGGAUUAGCUAGUUGGUAGGGUAAAAGCCUACCAAGGCGACGAUCCAUAGCUGGUCUGAGAGGAUGAUCAGCCACACUGGGACUGAGACACGGCCCAGACUCCUACGGGAGGCAGCAGUGGGGAAUAUUGGACAAUGGGCGAAAGCCUGAUCCAGCAAUGCCGCGGGAGUGAUGAAGGCCUUAGGGUUGUAAAGCUCUUUUACCGGGAUGAUAAUGACAGUACCGGGAGAAUAAGCUCCGGCUAACUCCGUG